CAGCACCUCAAGUGGUCAGGAUGAUUAUUGGGCCUAAAGCAUCCGUAGCCGGCUCUGUAAGUUUUCGGUUAAAUCUGUACGCUCAACGUACAGGCUGCCGGGAAUACUGCAGAGCUAGGGAGUGGGAGAGGUAGACGGUACUCGGUAGGAAGGGGUAAAAUCCUUUGAUCUAUUGAUGACCACCUGUGGCGAAGGCGGUCUACCAGAACACGUCCGACGGUGAGGGAUGAAAGCUGGGGGAGCGAACCGGAUUAGAGACCCGAGUAGUCC
rnacentral:rRNA from 1 species